GACGAACCGUGCGAACGUUGUUCGGAUUCACUGGGCUUAAAGGGCGCGUAGGCGGAUAAGCAAGUCCGGGGUGAAAUCUUUCGGCUCAACCGGAAAAGUGCCUUGGAUACUGCUUGUCUUGAGGGAGGUAGGGGUCAUGGGAACUUCCGGUGGAGCGGUGAAAUGCGUUGAUAUCGGAAGGAACGCCGGUGGCGAAAGCGCAUGACUGGAUCUCUUCUGACGCUGAGGCGCGAAAGCUAGGGGAGCAAACAGGG
rnacentral:rRNA from 1 species